GGUCUCAUGUAGGGCUCAAUGGUUAGCACACUGGCCUUGUAAACCAGUGACUGUGAGUUCAAAUCUUGCUGGGCCCU